rnacentral:rRNA from 1 species
GAUGAACGCUGGCGGCGUGCCUAAUACAUGCAAGUCGAGCGACCAGACGAUGAGCUUGCUCCUCUGACGUUAGCGGCGGACGGGUGAGUAACACGUGGAUAACCUACCUAUAAGACUGGGAUAACUUCGGGAAACCGGAGCUAAUACCGGAUAAUAUAUUGAACCGCAUGGUUCAAUAGUGAAAGACGGUUUUGCUGUCUCUUAUAGAUGGAUCCGCGCCGCAUUAGCUAGUUGGUAAGGUAACGGCUUACCAAGGCAACGAUGCGUAGCCGACCUGAGAGGGUGAUCGGCCACACUGGAACUGAGACACGGUCCAGACUCCUACGGGAGGCAGCAGUAGGGAAUAUUCCGCAAUGGGCGAAAGCCUGACGGAGCAACGCCGCGUGAGUGAUGAAGGUCUUCGGAUCGUAAAACUCUGUUAUUAGGGAAGAACAACUGUGUAAGUAACUAUGCACGUCUUGACGGUACCUAAUCAGAAAGCCACGGCUAACUACGUG